AUUGAACGCUGACGGCAUGCUUUACACAUGCAAGUCGAACGGUAACAGGCCUUCGGGUGCUGACGAGUGGCGAACGGGUGAGUAAUGCAUCGGAACGUACCCAGAGGUGGGGGAUAACGCAGCGAAAGCUGUGCUAAUACCGCAUGUGAUCUGAGGAUAAAAGCGGGGGACCGAGCAGCAAUGUUUGGCCUCGCGCCUUUGGAGCGGCCGAUGUCGGAUUAGCUAGUUGGUGGGGUAAAGGCCUACCAAGGCGACGAUCCGUAGCUGGUCUGAGAGGACGACCAGCCACACUGGGACUGAGACACGGCCCAGACUCCUACGGGAGGCAGCAGUGGGGAAUUUUGGACAAUGGGCGCAAGCCUGAUCCAGCAAUGCCGCGUGCGGGAAGAAGGCCUUCGGGUUGUAAACCGCUUUUGGCAGGAACGAAACGGUGUCCGCUAAUACCGGGCGCUAAUGACGGUACCUGCAGAAUAAGCACCGGCUAACUACGUG
rnacentral:rRNA from 1 species